AAUAUACUCCUCUGCUCAAAAUACUCUCAAGAACUCAAGCUAGGGUUUCAAUUUGAAGACCCAAAUCCCAUCAAUCGAAAAACAUAACUCCUCAUUUAUCUUCAAUAUCAAAAGAAGGGUUUCUCUCAAGAUCAUAACCUAUAACAAGAAUCAAAUCCUUCUUAAAGAAUAUAUGAUAUUCAAGUUUUUCAAACUCAAGAGCCAAUUUAUUUUCUCUCAAAGGAACAAGAACCCUAGUCAAGGAAUCAAGAACAUAUCUAAGAAUUUCUUCAAGAAUCUUCCACCUAAGGUAUGUGUAGUGUUCAUUCACGGAUUCCUUUCAUUCGUAGGAGUCCAAGAACCAUACUUUAAAUACUAUAUUGUGAUUGUCUUGUUGGGAUAUGAUCAUGUACAUGUUGAUGGUUGUUGUUUAUGCUUCAAGAUGUUAAUUUAGGGUGAUUCUCAUGAAGUAUGUGUGCUUGUAGUUAAAACUCAUGAAAUUGGGUGGUUUAAGAUGACUAAAUUAUUAAGAACACCUAUACUAUAAAGUGUGCAUGUAAGGUGUUCGACGAAAUGCCUAGAAUAGGCAUAAUCAUGUUUUCAUGAUUUAAGAGUGCUCAAUUAACAAGUCCUUACUCCAUGUUUUAUGAUUUCACGUGAAUUCCAUGUUGUGUGAAUAAAGUUCGAAUCUUUACAUGUUAUUCAUGAUACCAUGAUAUUUUGUGGAUUCAAUUGGUGGAAUUGAGUUGAAUUAUGGUGUUAUGGUGUAUAAAAUUGAUCAUUAGGCCUAUACCCUAAAUAGUGCAUGCAAGGUGUUUGUUAAAAUGCCUAAGUGAAGAAGAAUUGAGCACUUUGACCUCUUUGUGAUCUAAAUGAUAUUCCAUGCCAUAUCCAUGUGCUUAAGUUAACUCCCAUGCUAAAGCUAUGCCUACCAUGUGUUUGAUAAUGUGCCUCAACGAAUAAAUGAUGAUCAAGUACCUAAUCUUCAUGCUCAAAGAUUUUUCCAUGUCUCUUAAGUUAUGCCAUGUCUACUUGAUCAAGAUGAUUUCUAUGCUAUUAAUGUGCUAUGAAUAUGUUGUUGGCUUGUCAUGAUAUUAGAAUUGACCAUGAUAUUAGCUAUAUGAAAAGGUUAUGAAAACCACAUGAUUUAUGAAUUCCCCGUAGAUGCUAUAUUAUGGAUUGUUAAUGUUAGUCAAGUACUCUUGUAUGUCAAGUCAUGUCAGUUUCCUUCCAUCGAGUCCUAAGGGUAUUCGUACCCAAAAAAUAUAGCUGUGUGCCUAGAGCCAUGUUAUAUUUUCAUGAUACUCUCAGUCAAGCCCUGUUCAGUAGACUUCAGUCAGCUAACAGAACUCAGUAGCAUUUAGUCAGUUAACAGAAUUCAGUAGUGUUUCGCUAGUCAUCGGAACUCAAUAAACUCAGUCCAUGUUCAGUUUAGUUAAACAGAACAAUCAGUAACAGUUCAGUUAAUUCUAGUAUAAACUAGGAAAUCAGUUUAGUAUAAUCAGUUCAGUGUCAUUCAUUUGGGAGUAGGAUUCAGCACCGAGCGAACCCAAGGAUGGGAACUCACCUGCCAGUGCAGGGUGUGAUUCUUAGAAGCAGCCCUUGCAUUCCAGAACUAUGUAGCCAGCAUAGGUUGAGACAUCAAUACCUGUCAGUUGAGGGUAGAUGAGGUGGAUUAACCUGUCAGAUGAGGGUUCCCACCGUUCUCAUUAGAGUACCUGCCAGAUGAGGGUCACUUUCAGCUUGUCCUUGCCAGUGGAGCAGUAUUGACAUCCUUCCAAUCAGGGUAGAGAUUGGACCCCAGCUUCGCUAUUAUAGCGUAUUUGGGGUAUGUCGGUUAGAUAACUACUUCCCACAGUUUCAGUAUCAGUCUCAGUAAAAGAACUCAGAUAGUUCUUCAGGAUAUCAGGACUGUCAGAUACAGUCAACUCAGAUACAGUACAGAACUCAGCUAGUUCCAUCAGAUUUAGGACUGUCAGAUACAGUCAUUCAUGUUAUUAGUUAUCAGAACUCAUGUUAUCAGAUAUAUCAGUUAUCAGAAUUCAGAUAUCAUUCAUGAUAUGUUAUCGGUAAAUACCUGUCAUCAGUAUUCAUACUUAGUAGUCAUGUUAUCACGAGCUCAGUUUUAGGACUGUUAUAUACGGUCAAUCAAAUCGGUUAUUUAUAAUUAAACUAUCAAAAAUAACCAUUUCUUUAUCAGUAAUAUAGUAUCAGUCUCCCAAUAUUCAGUAAUACAGUAUCAGUUCCUCACUUAUUAGUGAAUUACAUAUCAAUAUCAGUAAACUCAGUCAUUCAGUACUCAAUAUCAGUAAACNNNNNNNNNNNNNNNNNNNNNNNNNNNNNNNNNNNNNNNNNNNNNNNNNNNNNNNNNNNNNNNNNNNNNNNNNNNNNNNNNNNNNNNGUAUGUAUGUAUGUAUUCUCACGUUCAUAUCAGUCAGCAUUGUUCAUGCAUAUAAAACCCUUUGCAUUUAGCUUACCUCACUCGUAUACUCAGUACAUUCAGUCGUAUUGACGUAUUUGCUCUAUGGUGUUUUAUUUGACGCCAUAGGUACAGAGACACGAGUUUCAGAGCAGCAGUAGCAUUGUAGAUUUCAGGAGUCAGUGCUCCUCUUCAUUCGAGGACAAUAUUAUUAUUACUUUAUUACAGUAUUUCAGAUUAGUUUUUCAGUUCAUGGAGUUAGUUGGAGACAUAUUCUUUCAACUCCUUAUUCAGUUCAGUUAAAGAUUUUUGGACUAGAUGUCAGAUUAGAUGUUUAGACUUUAGUAUUUAUGUUUCUUUUUGGUAUUGUUAUACCAUAUUUUUUAGAUACGUAUUAGUAUUGAACCUUAUGGCCUUACAGUUCAUGUUUCCGCAUAUUUUAUGAGAUAUUAUGUAGUUUAAAGGUACAGAUAUCAGUCAUAGGUUAGCUUGUAGUCCUUCGAGGUCAUGAGCACCGUGUAGCAUUUUGGUUCAGAAAAUUGGGGCGUUACAAACUUGGUAUCAGAGCCUAAGGUUCAACAGUGUCCUAGGAAGUUUGAAAGCUACAUCAAGUAGAGUCUUGUACAUGGGCGUGUUGUGCACCACACUUAUGUGCAGGAGGCUAUGAGAUAUUUUAGGAAUUGUUUCCCUUCUUUCAUGCCUCAAGAUUGUGCUAUAGCAAGUUUCUCUAAGGAACCCAUGUAGAUUCACAUCAGGCUCCCCUCAUGUCGACCUUACCUUACUUUUAAGAUAACAGAAACAGUGAAGCUCAAGUCCUAAAGAUAGGGCUUUCUCAUGCAGUCCCUAGAGACAAUUAUGGAUUUGCCAUAUGCUCAGACAAUACCCCCUCAAUUCAGUCAUGUUCCAAAGUUGUACAGAUUUUAUUUAUGAUCAUGAGAACUCCUUUGUAAACUCAAAUCCAAUUUUUGAUAUGCUGUUAGAUCCCUUCUCUGAAUCCUAUAACAGUAUAGACCUAGAAUUUUAAGCAUGGACCCAAGAGUUUAGCAGUAGAUGAGUUGGGAUAGUAUUAUCUAGUCUGAUUAGAUUAUGUAUUCAUUGGGAUAGUUGUACCAAGGUAAAUCAGGAGGCUUGAAUACUGUAAGCUAGAAAUUAAGUUUAUUUACUUGAAAUUAAGCAUGAAGGUGUAGAUGUGAUAUUAGUAGUAUAUGAGGAAACAGAAGCAGCUGAUGUGUUUAGUAGGAUGGGCAGGAGUCGAAUAGAGUAUAAGUAUGCGAUGAUAGAUUAAGAGACCAAGUCAGACUCUCAGAUUCCAGCAGUAGUGCCAGUAUGUAUAGAAAAACAGUAAGGGAAGACGAUUCCUAACCCAUCCUCUUCUCAGUACAAAGAUUUGUACUUCAGCUAUCACGAGAUCCACUCAGGUCUUAUAUAUCAAAUCUAUGGUCACGAACUACGAUUAUGCACUUUUCCAUAAAUCAUGUACGGUUUUAGUUCCCAGUAUAAAGGAUCUCAGUUUACCUCGAAGUACGAAUCAAUUCUAUGAACACGACUUAUGUUCACACGUUUCCAUAGAAUCGUGUGCACUUUUAGUUCCCAGCAUAGGAAGUUAGAUCUAAAUCACUCAGUGUCACGAAUCAUGUCUCAUGAAUACAAAAAACUCAAAACUUAGGUCAUGCAGCUCAUAACUCAUGUACACAUAUCAUGUUUUACAGUACACUCUGCUUUCAUGACUCAUGCUAUGCCCCUACAGAUCAGAUAAAUUCAUACCAUGUCAUGUAUAUUAUCAGUUCAAACCUUUUUGGUAAAUCCAUGCUUAGCUACCUCAUGUUAGUCAGUCAGUCCCUUCUCGUAUGCAUAAUACUCUAUGGUCUCCUUAUAUUCAGACUAAGUACAAUUCAGUCUUGUAUACCCAGUAUUCAAUUACCAGUUAUUAAGUUAAUCAGAUAAGUUAUUAUAUUUAUGCACUCGUAAUCAGCUAAGUUCAUGCAUCAUGUCUCAGUUUCAGAUCCCAGCUAUUAAUUCACAAUUCUAUUCGUAAGUGCCUUGUACACCGCCUUAGGUUUCCUUAGUAUCAAUUACAACCUCGCACAAUUACUGAUGUGUUUUGCACCUUUUCCUCAAUAUUUUCUUCUGAUGUGAGAUUUUGAGUUAGUGAUAACAGGUAAUCUUCACAAACAUCUCUGUCUUAUGAUCAUCAAGACCAACAGUCAAUUACAGUAUCUUUGGAGGACAUAACACUGGACAACAAUUUGCUUUUACAGGGGUUUAUGGUCCAUGUAAUAGAAAGCUGAGGAGAACUCUAUAGAAGGAACUUGUUGCUAUUAAUGGUAUUAUUCUACAACCAUGGGCUGUUGGAGGAGAUUUCAAUGUGAUAAGGUUUGCGGAGGAAAAAUCUGGAGCAGCCAGAAACACCAAACAAUUAGAGAACUCUCAAAUACUAUUAAUAAGCUUGAAUUAAAAGAUCUUUCUCUUCAUGGUGGUGAUUUUACGUGCUUCAAGGCUGGAUAGUUUUAUUAUUUUAGAGAGGUAGGAUGAGCAUUUCAAAUGCAUCAAACAAAGAGUUCUUCUCAGAACCACCUCAGAUCACUGUCCAAUUAUUUUAGAAUAUGGUGAUUGGGGAAAAAGAAAAAAUAUACUUCAAGUUUUAGAACAUGUGAUUUGAACAUAAAGAAUUCAUUGAUUUGAUCAAAAACUGGUGUGAUUCGUAUGCAGUUGUAGCAGAACCUGAUGUGAUCCUUGCAAGAAAAUUGGUUUUGCUUAAAGAAGACCUAAAAAAGUGGAACAGGGAGGUGUAUGGAAAGUUGGAAGAAAGAAAAAAUAAAGCUUAAGUUACACGGGAGCAGCGAGACCAUAAUAGACGGAAUAUUUCUCUUGAACACCAAGCAAAAUUUGAGGCAUAAAGGCCAUCGAUCAAGAAGUAGAUGGAAGAGGUGGCAAAGGCGAAAGAAAUCUCUUGGAGACAGAAGUCUAGAUGCUUAUGGAUAAAACAUAGAGAUAAAAAUACUAAAUUCUUUCAUAAGUAGGCCAAUGCUCACAAAAGAUUUAAUAGCAUUGAUAAAUUAGUUAUUGGAGAGGAGCUAGUGGAGGAUGAGCAGAACAUUAAAGUCCAUAUUUUGGACUUCCAUAAAAUCUGUUCAGUGAAUCAGAAUCUUGGAGACCCAACUGGGAGGAUGAUAGUGUUAAGAGGUUGUAAAGUAAAGAAAAGGAAUAGAUAGAAAGGUCUUUCACAAUGGAGAAACUGGAAGAGGUUAUAAAAACUUCCAAAGGAAAAAAGGAUCCUGGACUUGAUGGAUUUAACCUAUUUCUCUUUAAAAAAUAUUGGGAGUAUUGUUAAAAUGGAUAUUUGAAGAGCAGUGGAUGCUUUUUACAAGAAGGGAUCUUUUGUCAAGAGCUUGAAUUCUAUAUUCAUUACUCUAAUCCCUAAAAAGAAAAAAGCGGUGGAGGUCAAAGAUUUCAGACCUAUUAGCCUUUUGGAGAGUGUAUACAAAAUCAUAUUAAAGCUUCUGGCAGAAAGACUUAAGAAAGUUAUCAAUAACUUGAUGUCUCCCAAUAAAAAAGCUUUUAUCGAAGGAAGGAAAAUUAUUGAUGUUGCAACGAUAGCUAAUGAAAGUCUAGAUAAUCUGAUAAGAAGGAAGAAAAUAGAGGUGGCGUGUGAGUUGGAUUUAGAAAAGGCAUACGAUCAUGUCAAUUAGUAGUGCCUAUUGAAUCUUCUGAGGUAGAUAAACUUUGGUGAGAAAUGGACAGAAUGGAUCAGAUUUUGCAUCUCAACGGUGAGAUUUUCCAUCUUAAUCAAUGGUGACGCUCAAGGUCAUUCCAGCUCUUACAGAGGCUUGAGACAAGAGGGUCCUUGUCUCCUUAUCUAUUUGUUAUAGUAAUGGAAAUUAUCAUUACAAUGUUAAGGAAAGCAGACUGCUUGGGUUGGUUAAAAGGUAUAAAGACAGGUAGAAAUGAUCAGGAAGGCAAGAUGCUUAAUCAUAUUCUUUAUGCAGAUGAUUCUCUUCUAUUUUGUGAGGAUGAUAGAGAUCAAAUUUUGUAUAGGGGUUCUGUCAUGUUUUGAGGCAGUCACUGGCUUGAAAAUUAAUCUGGCUAAGAGCAAAAUCUUUAGUAUUAAUGCUGAUGAUUAUGUUGAAAAGCUGGCAGACAUUUUAGGGUGUAAAGGUGAUAAAUUCCCCCCUACUUAUUUGGGGCUUCCAUUAGGGGUGAAGAAAAGGGCAAAAGCAUCUGGUAAGGAGUUGUUGAUCAUUGUAAUAAGAAGCUGACUCCUUGAAAAAAAAAAAACAUUUGUCAUUGGGGAAGGCUUACGUUGAUUAAUAGUUUCCUGGAUGGUUUGCCUAUAUAUAUGAUGUCUCCAUUUAAAAUGUCGGUAGAAGUUUAAAAGAAGUUGGACUCCAUUAAUAGAAAAUUAUCAUGGAAUGGAAAUGCACAUAAGAGAAAAAUUCAUUUGGUGAAGUGGCAAGUGGUCAUUGGAGAUAAGAAAUCUAGGGGUUUCGGUGUGAGGAAUCUGAAAAUGCACAAUAGAAGACUACUUUUUAAAUGGCUAUGGAGUUAUAGUCGAACAAGUAUUGUCAAAAAAUGUUAGAUGCAAUAAAUGGUGAAAACGAGGGAUGGAAACAAAAUCCUUCACAAUUGAAGGUUUGUAUAGGAAUCUAGAGAAAAAUAAGUGAAGAAUGGGAGGAGUUCUUACAAUAUGCAAGGCUGGAGGUUGGCAAUGGUGCCAGAAUUAAAUUAUGGACUGAUACUUGGUGUGGAGACGAAAGUUUUAAAAGCAGAUUUUCAUAUUUGUUUAGAUGUGCUUUGAACAAAGAGGGUCCCGUUAUAAAUUUCUAUCAAGUUUCAGGCUGGCAUAUUACUUUCAGGAGAAACUUGAAUGAUUGGGAAGUGGAGAGUUUCUGCCAACUAAUGCAACAAUUGAGCACAUGCUUAAUAGAUAGGGACAAAGCUGGCACGUUAGUUUGGGUCAAUAACAGGGAUAAAUUAUUUUCAGUCAAAAGUUUUUAUAAAAUGUUGUUAAAACAGAAUAAUCAAGGGAUUCUAACUGGCGGUGGAAAAUGAUCUGGAGAACUAAGAAACCCUUAAAAGCAACUUGCUUUGGUUGGUUAGCAGCCAGGGAUGCUUGUUUAACGAAAAAUAAUCUGCAAAGGAGAUGAUGUUCCAUGUACAACAGAUGUUUUCUUUGUUAUAGGGAGCUGGAAACGGUUGAGCAUUUGUUUCUUCAUUGUAGAUUCUCAAGACAAUGCUGGGAAUUGUUUCUUAUCAUAAUAGGUGUGGCCCUCGUUAUACCACAGAAGAUCAGCAGUCUGUUGGAAGUUUGGCAAGCUCAAAAGGUAAAGAGAAGUAUGAAACAAAUAUGGAUGAUUAUUCCCAUUUGUAUAUUUUAAACUGUUUGGUUGGAAAGGAACAAGAGAUGCUUAGAGGGGAAAAGACCACAGAUUGCUAGCUUAAAAAAUAGAUAUAUCAAAAACCUAUUUUUUGUGUUAUUGCAGCAUUGUAGAUAAGAUGGACCAAUCUUUGGAUUUUUUGAAAUUUUUAGGGGGUAAUAUGUAGUAUGUAUGUGGAGAUGUUGUAGCUUUGUCUUGUACUUGGCUUUGUACCAUCUUGGUACCUUCUGAAUAAAAAGUUUUACCCAUAAAAAAAAAACCAUCUGUUUCUUAUGGCCUUACUUUUACACUAUUCCCUGUGAGGGCUUUAAAAGCACUAGAGCAUUAACGGUAGGUUCAUAUCCCUACUUAUGUGGGACACUUAAUAUAUUGUAUACCUUAACUAUCUAACAAAAAAAGGACAAUCCAGUGCACUAAAGUUCCCGCUAUGCAUAGGGUCUGGGGAAGGGCCCCACCAUAAGGGUGUAUUGUACGCAGCCUUACCUUGCAUUUCUGCCAAAGGCUAUUUUUGAGGCUUGAACCUGUGACCUCCUGAUCACAGGAAGCAACUUUAUGAGUUACUUCAAGGCUCCCCUUCAACAAUCUAACAAACAAUAUAACUAAAAUCUAUAUGAAACUUUGCAAUGGGCGGAAGGUGUCAAAAGCUAAAAUCAGGCAAAGAAUCUUGUUUUGUUGUUUCAUAUGAGUAUAUACAAAGAAGAAAGGUCUUUUUGAGAUCUUGUUUGGUUGAUUCAUUGUCAAAAUAGGUGGGUUCUUCGGAGGCAGUUAGAAAUUGGGCUAUGGAGGCACGAGGUGUAGAAGGUGGCAUGAAAAUUUCUAAGGUGGGGGGCUCACAAUUCCUCGCUCUAUUUGGGAAUGAGAAGCAGGCUUCUUUAUUCUUCUAGGAGGAAGGAGAUGGCUAGGAGGGAACUAUGUGAGACUAGAAUAUUGGAAAGGUGGUGUUGGGUGUGUUAAUCCAUUAUCAUUCAGUAACUCUACAAUCAUAAACUUGGUGGGGUUACCGGCACACGUGUGGUGCUAUGAUCUCUUUAAGAAAGGGAGAUCUAAGUGGAGGCUUUAUGGUUGUUGUUUGUAGCAUGCAUGAUCUGACAAGAGUGAGGAUUUUAGUGAAGAAAGGCGGCAAAGUUCCAAUUUCAGCGGUAGUUGAUGAUGGAGUUUUGAAUCUGGAUGUUUCCAGAGUUCAGACCUAAGAUGAGGUUGAGGGAGAGAAAAAAUGAGGAUGAAGGAGGAGAGAAGGGGUGGGAGGGAAAUGUGAGGGUCUUCUAGGAGGAAAAGGUUGAUUCCCAGAGUUCCUUAUCGAAAAAUAUGGGUUUUAAGUCUGUAACUGUUAGGAGGUCAAAGUCAAGGGUUUUCUAAUUUAGGGCUGAAGGAGUAAUGGAGAAAAGACAUUCUUACCCCUGGUUAAAUGAAAAUGUUUAGACACACAAUCGGAAGAAUUAUCGGCUACCAAACCUCAUUGGUGGGACAGAUGCAGUGAAUAAAAAAUGCACAAAAAAACCCUCCGUCACCAAAAAAUAGUUAGAAUUUGAAAAGAACACCACCAAAAGCUUCGAAGGUGUGUCGUGAGUCCCUAGGAAGAGUUUGCUCGAAAGGGGAGGCAGAAACUCACCUGAACUCUAUGCCCAGCACCUUAACGUCAUCUCUUUAUCGGAAUUCUAACUCUGGCGACCUUUCUUUGAUUGGAUCUAGGGUGGGUCAAACUCAGAAUUCUAUUUUUAACGGGUAAGAUCAGUUUAGAGGUCCAACUAAGGGAGGAAUAUGGGUGCAGCAGCCUUCUAAGGCAGUUUCGGUGACCUCGCCAGCACCAUAAAUGACUGAAAUUACUGCUAGUGGUUCGGGUUUGAUAAAUCAGCCCAGCUCUUUUGUUGUUUCAAACAGGGGGGAGAAAGAGGUAAUUAACGGUAUCAGUGGUGACGGUAUCAGUGGUGUUGUUGUGGAGUUUCUGGUUAAUUCUUCGAAACCCAAAAAUUUCAAAAUUCUUCCUAGUGGGGUCUAAACUGAUUUCAGUUGCUUGGGGGUAGGUGGAGAUGGGGUUGAUAUGUUUGUUGGCUCUUGAAAUGGGGUUUCCCACUAGAGUGAUGGCUCAAUUAAGGAACAUGGUACUGUUUUGGAAGGAACAAAAGAGGAAAGUUGUAUGUCCAAAUGGGCUGAAGAAAAGUUUCUUAAUUUUAGAAAACUUUUGGGGUUGUCCUUUGCUGGAAUGGAGGAAAAAGUUAUUGAGCUCUUGAAUAACAUUGAUCUAGAGGCUACAGGGGAGGUAGAGUUGGUGACUAAGGACUUGCUAGAAAAGAAAUCUAUGGUGGAGGUACAAAAACUAAAGUGACAAAUUGUGGUGUAUAGUAGAAGAAAUAAAGUGAGGAUGGAGGGAAUAAGUUGUUGAUGGAUUGUAAAAUCAUUAGCUAGAAUGUGAGGGGAUGAAUGACCCAAAUAAAAGGGUCAUCAUCAAAGUAGGUUUUAGGGAAUGAGGGGAUGAUGUAAUAUGCACAGAAACAAAAAUGGAAAUCCUAUCAGAUAGCAUUAUUAGAAGUGUGUGGUGAGGAAGGUGGGUGAAGUAUGAUUAGAUUCCAGCCUGGGGAAGUGUGGUACGAAUUCUCAUUCUUUAGGAUAACAAGAAAUUGAUGAGUAUGGAGGUUAUCAAAAGGAUGCGGUUUAUAAACACUAGUAAUAGCAUAGAGUAGGGUUUCGGGGGCUUUCAUGGACUUGUGGGGGAGCGGUUUAAGGAGAUAUUUUGGGAAAAAUUAGGAAUUGGGAUGGGUAGGUGGGAUAUACCUUGGGUGUUAUGGGGGAUUUCAAUACCAUUAUAUAUUCGGAGGAGCGGUUUGGGUGUAGUGUAGUGUCUAGGGCCAUGGAAGCUUUCUCAAAAUUCAUUAACAAUUUUCUCUUAUUGAUUUGCCUUUAUCAGGUGCCUCUUUCACAUGGUCCAGGGCAUAGGAUUCUUCUUCUAAAUCGUGACUAGACAGAUUUCUUGUAUUUACUUCUUGAGAGGAAUUGACUCCCCAUAUAAUCUAGUUUUCUCUCUCACGAUUGAUUUUUGAGCAUUGGCCUUAUCAUGUUAGAUGAAAGCAGAGGAAGAUGGAUGAGACCUCCUUUCAUAUUUGAAAAAAUAUGACUAAGCGUGUCCAACUUUACAGAUAGAGUGGUGGAUCAUUGGAGAAGUUACUCAGUGGAGGGGAUUCCGUGUUAUAGGCUAGCAAAGAAGUUGAAAUUGCUUAAAAAGGACAUAAGGGUGUGGAAUAAAGAGGUGUUUGGGAGGGUAGAAGUGAAAAUAAGGAAGAUGACAAAUGAAUUAAGAGAGAUAGAAAAGGUAGAAGCUAGGCGUGAGUUAGAGGAAAGGAAGAGGGAAAUGAAAGAUAGGUUGAAAAAGGAACUAGCUGAGUUAGCUUUGGCUCAAGAAAUUAGCUGGAGGCAAAAAUCGAGAGCAUUGUGAUUGGAGGAAAGAGGACUCAAAUACAAAAAUUUCCAUAAGGUAGCAAUUGCUAAUAGGAGAAGAAACUUCAUUGAGUUGAUAGAGUUAAAUGGGGUGGUGCAUAUGGGGAAGAAGAUGUAGAGGGAGCGAUUGUAAAGUUUUACAAAUGGUUGUUUAAAGAGAAAGCAAUUUGGGGGCCUAAACUGAUGGAUUUAGAGUUUAAUCACAUUAGUGGAGAGGAGUGUGCGUGGUUAGAAAGGGAAAUUUAGGAGGAGGAAGCAAAAAGGCAGUAGAGUAUUGCGCAGGUCAUAAAGAUCUGAGGCUUGAUGGUUUCUCUUUGGCUUUUUUCCAGCAUUGCUCGAGCAAGGUCAAAAAUAAGGUGAUGGCUACUAUUGUUGAGUUUCAAGAAAGAUGUGAUUUUGAAAAAAGUUUAAAUGUUUCAUUCAUCGUCAUCAUCCCUAAGCAGGAUGGAGCCUCAAGCAUAAAAGACUAUAGGCGUAUUAAUCUAGUGGGAAGCAUCUAUAAGAUCAUCUCUAAGGUGCUUUCCAUGAGACUUAAGAAGGUGCCAAACGAGACUAUAUCUACUUUACGGAAUGCUUUUGUGGAGGGUAGACAGACUUUGGAUGCAUUUUUGGUAGCGAAUGAAGCAGUAGAUUCAAGUAGAAAGCAAAGUGUACCAAUUGUAUUGUGCAAGCUAGAUAUGAAUUGGCGUUUCCUAGAUGCCAUUAUGCUACAAAAAGGAUUUGGGAGAAAUGGAGAAAAUGGAUUUAUUGCAUCUCUUUAGUUAGAUAUUCUGUUUUAGUGAAUGGCAAUCCUUGCGGAUGCUAUUAUGCUACAAAUGAGAUUGAGGAGAAAUGGAGAAAAUGGAUUUAUUGCAUCUCUUUAGUGAGAUAUUAAGUUUUUGUGAAUGGCAAUCCUUGUGGUUUUUAUGGUGCUCCCAUGUUGUUCAUCCUAGUAAUGGAACUAUUGAGCAGCGUAAAGAGAUCAUGAAAGGCUUCAUAAAGGGUUUUAGUGUUGCAGUUGGGGUGUUGGAACAAUUUUAGUUUCUCACUUGUUGUUUGCAGAUGAUACUUUGGUCUUUUGCAACGCAGAUAGGACCCAACUGGAUUAUUUAGGCCAAGUCCUCACUUGGUUUCAGGUGGUAUCAAGCCUUAAAAUUAAUAUGAGGAAGUGCAAUAUCUUUCCAGCAGGACGAAAUACUCAACUCAUGUGGUCCAUAAAUGCAGUUGGGGCAUUAGUCAAACCAAAGGACGUCAUCAAAAACUCAAAAUGAUCAUACCGGGUUUGAAAAACAGUCUUAGAGAUAUUCACUCCCCUAAUCUUUAACCGAUGGUAACCCGAUUGAAGAUCAAUCUUGGAGAAACACUUAGCACCCUGAAGCAGAUUGAAGAGAGCAUCGAUCCUAGGAAGCGGAUAGUUAUUCUUCACCGUCACCUUAUUUAACUGGCGGUAAUCUAUACACGUCCUUUUUAUGCACGAAGAGAACCGAAGCACCCCAAGGAAAAACACUAAGGCGAAUAAAACCCUUAUCUAAAAGAUCUUUCAACUGCUCCUUGAGUUGUUCAACUCAGCCAGAGCUAUUGACACCCAAUUUUUUCCUUCACAAUUAAAUUUAAUCCGGAGUUUCUUCGAUUUAAAAUAAAAUUAAGAUAGUUAUUUUAUUCUGAUAAAAUCUCUCCAAAGUAUCUAUCUAUGUAAUUUGGUCAUUUUAAGUAACGGUUAUAUAUUAUCUUGAUCAAUUAUACGAGAUUAUAUAAUUUGUUUACUUAAAUAUUUAUUCCAUGGAAUUUCAGAUUUUUAUCAAAAUUUACUAUGAAAAGGAUUAAAAUCUUAAAUCUUGAUUUAAAUGGAAUUCAUUCUAUAAAGAGAUUUAUUUGGAUGAAUACGUGUUUGAUUUUAUCAAAUCAAGAGGCUCGGGAUCAAAAUAAGGAUUUAAUUCGCAUCAAAUUUCGAUUUAAUUCAGCCAAUUUAUUUUUGACCAUAAAGAAAACCAAAUUGGCCACAAUUGCAAUGCAAAUUGACCAAUUUAGUUUUAAAUUUUUGAUCAAAUCUAAUUAGAUAAUUUAAUCCUAAUUUGGGGUUAUUUAACCCAUUACCAACCCAACAAUAAUUAACUUGUCCCAAUUCAAGCACAAAAUCCCAACACUAAAUCUGCCUAUCCCCGCUUUAGCCCAUUCCAUAAAAUACCCAUAUCAGGCCCAACAGACUAAUGACCCAAGCCCAUCUUUAAAUCCUCUUUCCUCUUAUAUGCAAAUAACAGCGAAAGCAUGAAUAACCGCGUACAAACAUCAACAGUUGUACGCGCAAAAGCUCCAACCGAAUCAACAAUUUCAAUGACAACAUCUCUAAUUAUCCUCUUUUCAUGUUAAAUUUCAACCAAAAUGAGCUGCCAUCAAUUCAAUCACUCCAAAUCUACCAAAAUCUUAGCUUUUGUAGGUCUAUCACCCCAAGAUGAAGAUUUUUACUCCUUUUCCCUCUUGUUCUUGGUUUGAAUUUUGAAUUUGGAGUUGUUAUGCCUAUAAAUACAACCAUUAUUCAUUCAUUGAGAAAAAAAAGGAGAAAGAGAUUCAUCAGAAGAAGUUAUCAUCCAGUUCACAUCACUGUUUCCUUCUUGUUUUCUCAUUUUCUUUUCCGAUAUCGAAGUUUGAGUUCAAGUUUAGAUUGCCGACGGAAAUCCCCUUAGUUCACUGCCCCGAAAAAGGUGCGAACUUGCUCCCUUUUUAUUUCAUUUUAAUUUUCUUUUCCUAUAUCUAUUUUGGAUUCUAUAGACAUAGGAAUUGCCUUGAUUUCAAAUUGGUGUUGUUCCUGUUGUUUUUGGUCUUGUGGUUAAAAAAAAUAUAAAUAAUUUUAAUUUUGAAAGUUGUUUUGUGUAUGAACAUGUGAUUCUGUGAAUAUGUGUGUAUAGGGGUUUAUCGCUCUUUUUUUUAGUUUUUAUUUCUUCAUUUUGAUGUGAAUCGGAGGUGGUCUUGUCAGUAAAUCCUAAUCCCAUUAUAUUUUAUUUUGAUAAUUCGCUGAUUGUUUGAGUUUGUCGUUUGGCUAAUAUUGGACAUAAAGUAUGAAAUGAAUUGGAGUUGGUCGUUUUGUUGGCCGGUUAUGAAUGCAAACUUUGAAUAUAAUCAUUUAUCGUUUUCUAGUUGGGAAGCUAGAUGGUUGGUUUAGGACAUGGAAACAACAUACAAAACUAGUCUCGUUCAUUUUAGUUUAUAUUGUAGGUUCUGUAUAUUUCAGGUUCAUGCUCUUUCCUAUUUUCUUACGUAUAACCAAUUAUGGUUUCAUAUUAGGCGGUCCGUAUGUUAUUCUGCUAUGUUUCUUUAAGGUAUAAUCAAUCUUGCGGGUUAUACUAGCACUUUUACAUAAAACACAAAUUGUGACUUGUUAAGAAUUAUCCAUGGUAUUUUGCUUAGGUUACGGCAUUGUGUGAAACAAAGCUAAGUUUCUCGAGAAAAUUGAAGGAAAGGUGCCUUUUAAGUCUUGAAUGAAGGAUUGAUGACAUUGACCAACAGAUAGGUUCAAACAUCAUUAGAAAACUUGAUUAAGUUAAUUUUGGACUUGAUUAAUAUUUUCAAAACUUUCUAAUCUUUUCAAAAAUAUAAAUCAACCUAACCCAUACCCCUCUUUAAUCCAAAUCAACCAUUCUCUCUCUCUCCAGCUUCUCUUAACUCUCUCCCAACCAACAGUUCUGCAAAAUCUCUCCUUUCAACCUCCGGUGACAAAUAAUCGAACGAGUUCCUUUUCAACUUUCAACCGUCAAUCGAUGUGAAUACUUCUCCGGCGAUAACAACUUCGAGUUCUUCGUCCUCCCAUUUCUUUUUUCACAAGUAAAAAAUUAUGAAGAAACAGGGAAACUUGAGCCAACUACUCUUCUGGUAUUGAAAUGUGGACUGAAUAAAAUCCUAAUUUCUGGGAUUUCUGCAUUUUUUCUUCUUGUUGUCGUACUGUUGAUUCAAAUUUAUUGGUAUUUUUUAUCACAGUUAAUGUUCUCUGUGUAUGUGUGAUAUGUUGGUGUUGCUGGGUUGAUUUGUUGUUUGUCUUGGUAGAAAUGGUAUUGCAACAGUUGAAACAUCUGAUGUAAUAGAUGAAACAUAUGAAGCAACAGAUGAAAAUCUGAUGCAACAGUUUAAAAAUCUGAUGCAACUAUGAAAAUCUGAUGCAAUAGGUGAACAAUGUAACAGAUCCUUCAUCUGUUGCGACAGAUGACUCUUCUGUUUGGAAUAAAUCUAAACAGUAUUGAUCCAACAGAUAACUGAUUAGUGAUCUGUUUUUAUUCUUUCCAAUGGUUUACUCUUCAUUUUACAAUAGAUUAGGACUAUUUUUAUUCUUUCCAACGAUUACUCAUCCGUUGCAACUGGUCGGUUAUCUGUUGCAACAGAUAACAUACGUGGUGCAACAGAUUAGUUGUCUAUUGGAACUGUUAUAUUACUGUUAUGCACUAAUCAAUUAUAAUCUNNNNNNNNNNNNNNNNNNNNNNNNNNNNNNNNNNNNNNNNNNNNNNNNNNNNNNNNNNNNNNNNNNNNNNNNNNNNNNNNNNNNNNNNNNNNNNNNNNNNNNNNNNNNNNNNNNNNNNNNNNNNNNNNNNNNNNNNNNNNNNNNNNNNNNNNNNNNNNNNNNNNNNNNNNNNNNNNNNNNNNNNNNNNNNNNNNNNNNNNNNNNNNNNNNNNNNNNNNNNNNNNNNNNNNNNNNNNNNNNNNNNNNNNNNNNNNNNNNNNNNNNNNNNNNNNNNNNNNNNNNNNNNNNNNNNNNNNNNNNNNNNNNNNNNNNNNNNNNNNNNNNNNNNNNNNNNNNNNNNNNNNNNNNNNNNNNNNNNNNNNNNNNNNNNNNNNNNNNNNNNNNNNNNNNNNNNNNNNNNNNNNNNNNNNNNNNNNNNNNNNNNNNNNNUGUAUGAAAACAAAGAUAAGAUGGAUGAGGUGUGGAUAAAUUACUGUGACAUGCCUGUUUGUUUUGGUUGGGAGGAGUUUGUCGUAGUUACCGGACUAAAAUGUUAUCCUCCUUCUCCUUCUCAAGUUAUACCUACUCUGACCCAAAAAAAGCACCCCGCACACCCAAAAAAGGAAAAGGCAAGUCGAGUAAUCGUGAUGACUUGGUGUCCAUUGUUGGUUCAAGCUUCAAAAACAAAAAUCUGAUUGAAACGUUGAAAGGUAAAGGACUUUCAAAGAAGCACAAGCAAUCAUUGUGCUUGGUUUGGUUUGUACAUAAUGUUCUUUGGGCGAGAGACUUUAACAACAACAUAAGCCUUGGUUUAAUAAAUCUGUCCGAGGAUCUUGAGGCAUUUAACAGCUAUCCUUGGAGUUAUGAAAGCUUCAAAAUGACUGUCGAAUAUUUGUUGACUCCGUUAACGUCAAAAAUAGUCAACUUAAAUGGUUUUCCAUGGGCCUUCAUGAUAAAAAUUUCUUUUAUCCUGAUAUGAUUCAUCAUUUUUUUAUUCAAUAAUGCUUUUGAUUUAUUAGUGUUAUGUUAUAGGCUUGGGUAUUUGAAGUCAUUCCUUAUUUGAGACAACAAGUGAACUACCAGGAAGAAGUUUCCUGUCCAAGAAUUCUGAGAUCGUUGUCGGCCAAAACCAAUAAAAAUGCAAAAUUUCUUGAUCUUUUCAAUCUUCCAAGGAAGCAGUAAGUACAAUUCUAAUCGAAUUUUUGUUUUAAUUAAUGAUUAAAUGAUUUCAUCAUCAUUCUUAAUAUAUGUACCGAUUUAUUUUAGAUUGUCCAUCUGUGGCUUGUUCUGACCAAAGAGAGUUGAAGAUGCCAUUUUUUUUACUUUAUAAUCUGUGCAAACUUUAUCGGACCCUAAGUUCGUUGAUGGAAUAAAAAUGGAAUUGUUUGGAGCAACAGCCAUCACAAGAAAAAUAAUUUUCGUGGGUGGGGUAAUGAUGCUCCUCUUAUAGUUUUUGAAACAACAAGCCAUUAUGAUUAUGAUCAUAAUGGUUGUACAGAUUUUUCUCCAAAUUUUGCCGCAUCUAGCGAAUGUUCUUCAUGAAAAUGUCAAGACUGUAAGGCGAAACACGAUGGAGUGAUUAAUGCUAUUAAUGCACUAACUGCUUCUGUAAAGAAAAUGACAUCUAAGAGGGGUGUCAUUCCAUCAAAGAGGAUUUUAUAUCCAAACACUCCACUAGAGAUCAAGGCGGCUAAGAGGAGAAGGAAAGACACUUCCAAGGCAUCAUCAAUCAUCAAAAAAGCAAGAUUGCAAUGCCUCUAUCUUUGUCUUGCACCGAUGUUCAGUGUGCAAGGGCCACAAAAGAGCAACAUGAGCUGAAGAAGGUGAAUUUACAUCAUCUAUUCCAAAAAACAAAUAGGCACAUAUCUGUUUCAACAGAUGAUACAUCUGCUGAAAAAUAUCAAACAGAUGUAUACAUCUGUUACAACUGUUGUCUAACCUAUUGCAUCAGAUUCAUUAUCUGUUUUAACAGAUGAGUCUUAUGUUGCAAUAGAUGGGUCAUCUGUUCAAAAUUAUCGUACUACUCUGAUUUACCUGUUCGAAUUUGUCCCAACAGAUAGUCCAUCUGAUGCAACAUAAGACUUAUCUGUUACAACAUAUAGAAAAUCUGUUGUAUAUCUCUACUUAGCAUUGACAAUUCUUAGUUUUUAGGUGGAUUUCACAGCUACUGCCGAAGAGCAUAAUAUGAUAGUUGAUAAUGUAUCAACUAUUAAAAAAGAUGAAGAAAAAAUAGAUCCUAUCAGUUUGGGAGAAUGGAAGAAUUACUCGUUUGAAGGGUUCAACAUCUCGGACAAGGAUCUAAAAAAACUAACACAAUUGAUCAACGACUAUUCAGAAUGGAUUGUCGAUGGGCUGUUAAAGCAUCAUGCCGGCAGGUACAUAAAUCAAUUUUAUGGAUAUUGGUUUAUACAAUUCUUGUUGUAAGAACCUGACAUUAACAUAUAUAAAUCAUCAUGUAGAAAACAAAAUGACGAGCGCUAAAAGUGAACGAAUCGAGUCUUGGUUUUGAUAUGUUCGACUUUGUUGUUGCACUUUCCAGAAUGAAGAAUUGGUUCUAUUUGAUGUCACGGCCUCAAACUUGCUGGAAUGAUGAGGUUUAAAUACCAUACAUAUUACUAUUAAUUAAUACUUUAUUUAAUUGCAUUUGCGUAUUGAUUUUUCAUCACGUAAUCCGAAAUGUUUGAUAAUAUGUGCAGUACAUCGAUGUCAUUUUUUACUACCUCCAAAAGAAGGCCAAGUUACAAACACAAGAACAAUACAAAUACAGAACAGGCAAUUGUUUGUACAAAGUUUACAUAAUAAUGCCUAUGAUAGGUAUUGUCAACA
rnacentral:lncRNA from 1 species